UCGGAUAUGGUGUACGGUGCACGGCCUCCUCUGUUAAUAUUUAACUCUCUGAGUUGCACGAGGCAGAUCGGGGUUCGACUCCCCGUGUCCGAA